GAUGUGGUAGUUUAACAGUAUUCUUCUAACAAUUAUUGUUGUACUUCAGAGUUAAUUACUCAACUCUGAAGUACAAAAAUAAUUGUUAGAAGAAUAUUUUUAAACUACUACAUCCA